rnacentral:rRNA from 1 species
GAUGAACGCUGGCGGCGUGCCUAAUACAUGCAAGUCGAGCGAACGGACGAGAAGCUUGCUUCUCUGAUGUUAGCGGCGGACGGGUGAGUAACACGUGGAUAACCUACCUAUAAGACUGGGAUAACUUCGGGAAACCGGAGCUAAUACCGGAUGAUAUUUUGAACCGCAUGGUUCAAAAGUGAAAGACGGUCUUGCUGUCACUUAUAGAUGGAUCCGCGCUGCAUUAGCUAGUUGGUAAGGUAACGGCUUACCAAGGCAACGAUGCAUAGCCGACCUGAGAGGGUGAUCGGCCACACUGGAACUGAGACCCGGUCCAGACUCCUACGGGAGGCAGCAGUAGGGAAUCUUCCGCAAAGGGCGAAAGCCUGACGGAGCAACGCCGCGUGAGUGAUGAAGGUCUUCGGAUCGUAAAACUCUGUUAUUAGGGAAGAACAUAUGUGUAAGUAACUGUGCACAUCUUGACGGUACCUAAUCAGAAAGCCACGGCUAACUACGUG